CCCAGAACAGGAUCUCUUAAUAAAUGUUCAACUAUACACACCUUUUACAAAUACACUUUCCUAUCUCAACUGAUUAAAUCAGCUGCCCCUAGCAGUGUGCGUUUAGCAUAGCCAGACUACACAGCUUCUUAAGGGACAAAUACUGUAUAGUGCUCCUAGGAGAUACGGAAGCAGCACACUCCUCUGAAUGAAACGUUCCUGCAUACUGAAGCCACUGAUCACAAUUAUCACCUGGAAAAAAAAAAACAAAACUUAGUUUUGAAGGGGGUUGAAAACAGCAUGUAUGCUAAUACACAAUUGUAAUAUACAUAAAGAUCUAGUUAACGUAUUUGCGAAUAAUACUGUUUCACAAGGAAAACGGUAGGAAAAAUCUCUUGUAUUCUGGGCUUGUUUUAAGUUGCCUGCGAUUUGUUUAAAGACUCAGGCAGCUAAAGCAAGUCUGGAAAGCCGGAGGCAACUUCGAUGGAGACCCGAUAAAAGCACAAAAUAUGUGUAGAAAAACAAUCUACCAUAAUUUAUUCAUCUCUUUUAAAACUUUUACUUUAUGAAACGUGAACUAAUUAAAAUAACAUCGCAAAAAUGCGUCAUUCCUGCUAGUAAUGUAUAUACAGACGCUAAAGGGACGAGUAUUUCCUAUUUUAAAUUCAGUUUGCUAGUCGAUCGCUAUCAAACACGGAAAGCGACGUCACUUGAUCACUGGACUUGCCUCUUAGUUCCACAAAAUCCCUCAAACCUCUACUAACGGAGAACAUCACAGAGAGCAAAGUUUUCAAACCUCAACAACUCCUGAGUAAUUUAAAUACAGAUUUGUGUUGGGAUUAAGCUACCGGUGUUAGCAUUUAAAAUAAGCUGUCCGUUAUUUAUGUGCAGCUGCCGUGCUCCUUGUUUUCAGCAAUGCCAUGUUAUUUAGUUACAGUACGACAGGGUGUCGUUUUACGAACUGCUGCACUGGAGAGAGACAGUAAAGAGCGCAUGAAAAUCCACAGUCAGUGGAGCUGUUGUAGCGUUGAGGAUCGUUCUACUGAAUUGCAAGGGCUCUGUAAAUAGUUUAGUGUUAAGUAGUGCGCUCCUUAGUAUGUUAGGUUAGUAUGGUACAGUAGGUUUCCCGGUGAGGGCUGGGCGACAAUUAUUUACAGAUCCCUUGUAGUUCAGUAGAAUACCAGGUUCACUCCACUACACUGUGCGUUUAUGAAGUGUAAGCCGUGCUCUUGUAGCUCUGUGUUGAAUAAAGAGUAAAACUGGACAACACC